rnacentral:rRNA from 1 species
GGGUCAGUAGGUUGGUCGUGCCACCGGUACGUACUGCUCUCACUGAUUCCUCCUUCCUGAAGAACCGUAAUGCCAUUAAUUUGGUGUUGCGGGGAAACAGGACUGUUACUUUGAAAAAAUUAGAGUGUUUAAAGCAAGCUAACGCUUGGAUACAUUAGCAUGGAAUAAUGAAAUAGGACGAUCGAUCCUAUUUUGUUUGUUUCUAGGAUUGACGUA